GUACUUGGGGCGAGAUGGGUCUUGGUGUGGAGGUAAAUCGGUCUUGUAAUGUAGCCAUCCGUACCAUUCAGCAGGAACUUGUGAUGCAUCAUAAUUCAGACCAACGCUAUCGUUAUAUUCAACCCAACGAUUGCGUCCUACAAAGGUAAAAGGAUAGAUGUUAUUUCAACUGUAUUUGAAAAAAAGGAGUUAUGGAAUUUGUUUGGCACUAUGAAGGAGGCAUGCCUUUGUAGUAGUUUUUUUCUUAUUUGGAUCUUCUGCAAGGGCAUUUUACGCAGUUGGUAGUUAUGUAAGAAAAUAAAACCCCUCAGAAGAUUUGAAUAGUGGAUGACAUUGGAGUUUAUUUGAUUUUAUUUCUCACCUUGUCCAGGCGGGUGAUGAAAAAAAAUACUUAAACCUCCAUAAUCGUUUUUCAGCUAUCCAAACCUCCCAUUCAGGUUUUGACCAACAGAGAAUACGACUUUUGUACAGAAAGAAAACUAUGUAACGACCGAUGCCAGGUCGUCAAAGGAGAUUUGAUUCUCAUACUUUUUUAAAACUGAAUAUGAUAAUGACACCCCAGUUGAGUCUGCAUUUGAGAGAUGCUCUAAUGGAUUUACAGGGGACUUAGAAAAACUUGUUAGCCUUUUAAGGAUCGUAGUCAAGUCCGAUUUCAACACAAGCCAAACAUUUGAUCCCUCUAGCAUCUAUUUCUCUGGUACAAAGAAUGUUGAUCGAGCAAGUGCAAGGUAGCAGUACAUUGGAAGAAAUAAAAAUUAACGUUGGUACAAA